UACGUAGGGGGCAAGCGUUGUCCGGAUUUAUUGGGCGUAAAGAGCUCGUAGGCGGUUUGGUAAGUCAGGUGUGAAAUCUCCACGCUCAACGUGGAGGGGCCACCUGAUACUGCCAUGACUGGAGUCCGGUAGAGGAGUGUGGAAUUCCCGGUGUAGCGGUGAAAUGCGUAGAUAUCUGGAGGAACACCGGUGGCGAAGGCGGCAUCCUGGACCGACACUGACGCUGAGGAGCGAAAGCCAGGGGAGCAAACGGG
rnacentral:rRNA from 1 species